rnacentral:lncRNA from 1 species
GAUUAUAACCCUGUUGCAUUUUUCGCAAUAAUAAAAACAUUGCAAUAAUUUCAGUAUUUACAGUAUUUAUUUUGUAAAUGUGGAUGCACACCUGUCCUGUUUCCUUUUAUCCUUUAAUAAAAUCUAAGAAAAUCUUUGUUAAAAAUAUUACUAACUACCACCAUUAGGGUCGAUCUUUAAAAUGGUGCAUUAAUAUUUCAUCAUUGUUGGCUGCCUAAGAUUAACAGUAAAAAAUGUACACAUUGUGUACCAAAUUUUCAGAACUUUGACACAAUUUGAUGAUAUUUUCAUGGAAGCAGCUUCAAUUGAAAUCCAUUUCAAGGUUAUUUACUCAGGAAAUAAGUAAACAAUCUAGUUCACCUAUUAAACAUUCCAGUUUCACUACAAGGAGAAAAUGCAUGUUUGUUUUUUUUUCCAAAUAAUAAAGUUGUUCAAAUAAGACAGUCAGAAGUCGCUUAGAAGCAUUUUAAAAUGAACAUUGAACAAGGUUUUUAUUAAUCAGUUUUUAGAUUAGAACAAAAAUAUUUUUUUUUCAAAAUUAUUAAUGACACAGCAGUUUUUGCCUUUUAUUUAUUCUUAAGUUCAUGGAUCUUAUUUUUCAUAAGGUUAGACAUUCUUAGAACAGGAACAGUUCAAGUUCACCAAGAUGUCUUGUAAAGCUUUUUUGUUUUUUUUUUCUAGUUCAAUUUUAUUAAUUCUGGCAUUUACAUAUCCACUAAGCAUUAUUUCUUCAGAUUAUGAUUCAAUUCAGAAAUUAACUUUCCUUCCUCAUUAAUUACAUUGUGUAGUGUCAGUAUGCCUGUAAAUGUUUUUUAGACCAAUCAGAUUGUCUAAAACAGUUUAAAUAUGUUCCCAUAAUGCAACAUUUUUUUCUGAAUUGGACCAUUUAAAUUUCUGUGUAUUCCUAUUUAUUUUUUGUCUUAUCUGCUAUAGUAAUACUUUAAUGUGCUGUUGCUAGCUUUGGCUUGGUCAACAAAUUAUUUAAGUUUGUGAUGGGUCAAUCUGAGGACAACUACUUAUGAUUAUGAUAGUUUAUAUGCAGUUGUAUUAGCAUUGGCAGAUGCCAUUCCAUGAAGGUUAUUUGUCAAAGUCUCCUCAGUAAUGUUCUAACUGACUAGAUUUGCCAGUUUUCAUAGGGAAGGUCAGUGGUUCUCUCUGAGCACUCCACCAAUAAAAACUGACUGCUGUGAAAUAUCAUAAUACUUCCUCCACCAAUAAAAACUGACUGCUGUGAAAUAUCAUAAUAGUGUUGAAAGUGGCCUUAACACUAAUCAAUAUCUUCAGUCAUGGUCUAUUGACUUAACAACUUUUGCAGUUUACAUGUUUAAGUUUUUAAAUCAAGUCACUCAGCCUUUUACUGGGAACCAAUUAUAGUAUGUAAUUUUGACAGACACUGCUCUUCAGCCAUUGUCCAUGGACUUAAAGGUUUUGCAUAGUUUACAUGUUCCAUUUAGAUUUCAGCAUUUGCUUUUUACUAUCAAAAUAACAAACAUGUGGUGAGACAUAUCUCUGACUUCUUUUCUGUAUGUCAACUUUUUAUAUUUAUUUACAUUUCCUGUAGCUUUUGAUUUAAUUGAAUUUGAAUUAAGAAAAAAAUAUUGUGGACAUUUUGCACUGGUUAUAUAUUUUCACUUUGACUACAGGUUUUUGUCAGAAUUUUGGUGUGCUUUAUUAAAAAGGUCAAUGACAAAAAAUUACUGUACAUUUCAAUUAAGUUGACACACAUAUUACAGGGGUUGCAACCCUUGGAUAUUUUUAAUGACAGCUUACUUAUCAACACUACUUUUACCUCAGCCUAAAGUUAUCAUUGUCAUUUUGUUCUCAUCUGGAUAGAGGUUUCAACUCUUGUCGGUUCUACAAAAUAACUAUUGGAAAGCAGUCAUUUGAAGAACUGUUGUUUUUUAGGGGGGUGGGGAGGGUUUUGUAUUUUAGAUUGUGUCCUCUUUUUGUUGAUAUUGAUUAUCAGAAAAAUUGUUAAUUUAGACACCAUUUUUAGGACAGAUUUACUUAUAUGUUUUGCCUGGAAGUACAAGUAACAUCUUAAAGUUUUCAUAUCUAAUUCACUGUUUUUUUUAAGCUAUUUUUCUGUGCAGUUAACACUGUUUUCAUUAAUUUUACUUUGCUGUGCAAAAGAUUUUACUAAUUUGACAGUUAGGAUAUUGUAAUAAGAUGAUUAAUAUAUAGAUUCUACCACUGCAUCAAGUGUGAUACAAUAUUUAUCCACUCAAAACAGUUUAAUUUUCAAAUUUAAAACGCAGAAAGGGAUGAAUUGACAAAGAAUUAGAACUUUACAAUUGGGCAUCAAACACCAUUUUAGAUGAGCAUUAGUAUUGUCAUUGUUUCUUUUUAAUCAACAAAAUAAACUACUUAUUUUAUUGCUUUUUUUGUCCUUGAAAAAUGUAAGUACAGAGAUGUAAUGUUGAUAGCUAUUUUUAUAAUUUAAAAGACAAAUGCAAAUUGAAUUAAAUUUAUUUUACUAUGGUUUGUCUCCCUUAUUAUUAGAAAUAUGUUUAAAAAGAUAGUAUAAUGAACUUUAAGAAAGAAUUCUUCACCAGAGAUUGUUUCUGCUUAUUAUAUGUACUUGUAGUUUUCAAAGUGAACUGUUAUUCCUUCCAUAUUAUAAUGUCAGUAAUAUUAUUUGCAAUUAUACCUUUUUUUAGUUAAGUAUGCCAUUUAUCAUUUAGGAAUGAAUUGUUAUUGUUUUUUUUUAUUGAAACUCUGCGAAUGUGAAAUAAAUAUAUGAAUGAUC